rnacentral:rRNA from 1 species
GACGAACGCUGGCGGCGUGCUUAACACAUGCAAGUCGAACGGAAAGGCCCUGCUUUUGUGGGGUGCUCGAGUGGCGAACGGGUGAGUAACACGUGAGUAACCUGCCCUUGACUUUGGGAUAACUUCAGGAAACUGGGGCUAAUACCGGAUAGGAGCUCCUGCUGCAAGGUGGGGGUGGGAAAGUUUCGGCGGUUGGGGAUGGACUCGCGGCUUAUCAGCUUGUUGGAGGGGUAGUGGCUUACCAAGGCUUUGACGGGUAGCCGGCCUGAGAGGGUGACCGGCCACAUUGGGACUGAGAUACGGCCCAGACUCCUACGGGAGGCAGCAGUGGGGAAUAUUGCACAAUGGGCGGAAGCCUGAUGCAGCAACGCCGCGUGCGGGAUGACGGCCUUCGGGUUGUAAACCGCUUUCGCCUGUGACGAAGCGUGAGUGACGGUAAUGGGUAAAGAAGCACCGGCUAACUACGUG